rnacentral:lncRNA from 1 species
UGAGAGAGGUCAGCGUGAGCCCCUUGCCUCACACCGGCCCCUCCCACGCUGAGAGAGGUCAGUGUGAGCCCUUGCCUCACACCGGCCCCUCCCACGCGGACAGAGGUCAGCGUGAGCCCCUUGCCUCACACCGGCCCCUCCCACGCUGAGAGAGGUCAGUGUGAGCCCUUGCCUCACCCCGGCCCCUCCCACGUGGACAGAGGUCAGCGUGAGCCCCUUGCCUCACACCGGCCCCUCCCACGCGGACAGAGGUCAGCCCGAGCCCCUUGUCUCACACCGGCCCCUCCCAUGCUGAGAGAGGUCAGCCCAAGCCCCUUGCCUCACACCGGCCCCUCCCACGCGGACAGAGGUCAGCCCGAGCUCCUUGCCUCACACCGGCCCCUCCCACGCUGAGAGAGGUCAGCCCGAGCCCCUUGCCUCACACCGGCCCCUCCCACGCUGAGAGAGGUCAGCGUGAGCCCCUUGUCUCACACCGGCCCCUCCCACGCUGAGAGAGGUCAGCCCGAGCCCCUUGCCUCACACCGGCCCCUCCCACGCUGAGAGAGGUGUGAGCCCCUUGUCUCACACCGGCCCCUCCCACGCGGACAGAGGUCAGCGUGAGCCCCUUGCCUCACCCCGGCCCCUCCCACGCUGAGAGAGGUCAGUGUGAGCCCUUGCCUCACACCGGCCCCUCCCACGCGGACAGAGGUCAGCGUGAGCCCCUUGCCUCACCCCGGCCCCUCCCACGCUGAGAGAGGUCAGUGUGAGCCCUUGCCUCACACCGGCCCCUCCCACGCGGACAGAGGUC